CCACCUCCCUCUUGUUCUGCCUCCGCUGCUGUAGUUGUCAGUUGCCAUCACCGCAGCCUCAAUACGGCUGCUCGGCGAUUGCUUCCUUGGGUCACAACAGCCGCAACCGUCACCUUUCAGCCUUGGCGCUCUCAUCUCACGCAGUGACACAAACAUAGGGCAGCUACUCUUCCUCCAACGCAGCGACCGCAGCACUGCCCUUGGCAUCCACCUCCUCGGCAACUUCGCAUCGACAGUGUUGAUGCCCUUGACUGACACCAAAAACAGAAGUUGAGAUUACAGAUUUGCAGUCGUACGCAAUGGCCACUGAUAACUCGGUGAAAGCACAAAUGGAAGCAUUGGAAAUCAGAAUUGAGAAUCGACUGCAAGAAACACUUAAUGAUUUCAAAAAGAGCCUACUGGAGA
rnacentral:lncRNA from 1 species